rnacentral:rRNA from 1 species
UACGAAGGGUGCAAGCGUUAUUCGGAUUUAUUGGGCGUAAAGGGUUCGUAGGCGGGAUUAUAAGUCAAGUGUGAAAUCCCCAAGCUUAACUUGGGACGUGCAUUUGAAACUGUGAUUCUUGAGUCAUUGAGAGGGUGGUGGAAUUGUUGGUGUAGAAGUGACAUCCGUAGAGAUCAACAGGAACAUCAGAGGCGAAAGCGGCCACCUGGCAAUGUACUGACGCUGAGGAACGAAAGCGUGGGGAGCAAACAGG